AGCAUUCAUUACUGUAAGUCGCUCUGGAUAAAAGUGUCUGCUAAAUGACUCAAA
rfam:Salmo salar isolate Sally breed double haploid chromosome ssa09, whole genome shotgun sequence.